rnacentral:rRNA from 1 species
AAUCACUGGGCGUAAAGGACGCGUAGGCGGAUUAUCAAGUCUUUUGUGAAAUCUAAUGGCUUAACCAUUAAACUGCUUGGGAAACUGAUAAUCUAGAGUGAGGGAGAGGUAGAUGGAAUUCUUGGUGUAGGGGUAAAAUCCGUAGAGAUCAAGAAGAAUACCCAUUGCGAAGGCGAUCUGCUAGAACUCAACUGACGCUAAUGCGUGAAAGCGUGGGGAGCAAACAGGAUUAGAUACCCUGGUAGUCCACGCCCUAAACGAUGCAUACUCGUUGUUGCUCUACUAGUUAGGGCAGUAAUUCAGCUAACGCAUUAAGUAUGCCGCCUGGGGAGUACGGUCGCAAGAUUAAAACUCAAAGGAAUAGACGGGGACCCGCACAAGCGGUGGAGCAUGUGGUUUAAUUCGAAGAUACGCGAAGAACCUUACCUGGGCUUGAUAUCCUAAGAACCUCUUAGAGAUAAGAGGGUGCUAGCUUGCUAGAACUUAGAGACAGGUGCUGCACGGCUGUCGUCAGCUCGUGUCGUGAGAUGUUCGGUUAAGUCCGGCAACGAGCGCAACCCACGUAUUUAGUUGCUAGCAGUUCGGCUGAGCACUCUAAAUAUACUGCCUUCGUAAGGAGGAGGAAGGUGUGGACGACGUCAAGUCAUCAUGGCCCUUAUGCCCAGGGCGACACACGUGCUACAAUGGCAUAUACAAUGAGACGCAAUACCGCGAGGUGGAGCAAAUCUAUAAAAUAUGUCCCAGUUCGGAUUGUUCUCUGCAACUCGAGAGCAUGAAGCCGGAAUCGCUAGUAAUCGUAGAUCAGCCAUGCUACGGUGAAUACGUUCCCGGGUCUUGUACUCACCGCCCGUCACACCAUGGGAGUUGAUUUCACUCGAAGCCCAAAUACCAAACUGGUUAUGGUCCACAGUGGAAUCAGCGACUGGGGUGAAGUCGUAACAAGGUAACCGUAGGAGAACCUGCGGUUG